UGGUAGGAACAGCGUCUUUAAUGGGCCCCGCCCCCCACGCCCGCCAAACCGCCCCCCUUGCGGGCCACUUUGGCCUCCUCCACCGCGGCACGGAGGGCCCGGGCCGGGUCCCCGCGGAGCCGGGCCAAUUCUCCGAGCAGCGCAGCGGAGUCGUCCCCCGUACGGAGCUGUCGGCCGUUCAGAAAAUAGUGAGGCAACGUCCCGGCCUCGAGCACUCGGCCGAGCUCGUCUAGCAGCCCGAGGCAGCAGGCGACUCGGACGCUGAAACGUCACUAGGCGAUUUUUCCAAAGACACCGGCGCCUCGUGCUCAGUGACGUAGCUGUGCG
ensembl:lncRNA novel transcript, antisense to TMEM102